rnacentral:lncRNA from 1 species
GGGAAUGUGGAACAGGUCAUGAAAUUCGUUGGGUUCAAGUUCGAUGGAUCGCACGAGGAUGUUGAGGCCUUCUAAUCCAACGCCCAAUCAAGGUUCAAAGUAAGUGCCAAGGGCUCUUGGGAGCUCGCCAACCUUGCUUGCAGCAUAAACUAUGACAAUAGGGGCUCUACCCUCACGGCCCCUCAGCCCGACCAACCCUUGUCCGGUGACAGCCCAAGAGGUUGUGUUCUCUCCCUGGCAUAUGAAGUUCUAGUUUGGAAUAUUAGGGGUCUUGGUUCCUCCCAUAAGAACUAGGCGGUCUAGGACUUAUGUUCUAAACUUUCUCCAACCCUUUUGGUCCUGAUCGAAACAAAACUACUGACACCCUCCCUUCGCCAAGUUAGGAACGUUUGGGGCCGUAGGCCUUGUCAAUGGACUGCCCAGCAGGCUGCUAGAGCCUCAGGGGGCAUUUAGUUGGUCUGGGACCCUUCCUCCUCCACCCUUGGUCCAAGCCAGGUGUGCCUCCCAUUCGGUCACCAUCUCCAUGACUUGGUCAUCCAACAGCCUACCGUGGAAAUUUUCGACGGUGUACGACCCCAACAAUGACCAGUUUAUUUUGUGGCAGGAAUUGGGCACUGUGGCUGGCUACCCUCCCUCUCGGUGGUGUAUCGACGGUGACUUUAACGUCACUAGGUGGCCCAACGAAUGCAGCUCGUCCAUGAGAAUCAUGCCUGCUAUGCGGUAAUUUGCCCACAUCAUCAACUGCCAUGAGCUUAUUGACAUCCCUCUUCAUGGAUCUCUAUACACUUGGUUCAGUAGCUCCACCCGAUCCAAGCUUGAUCGUUUCAUAUGCUCUCAAGACUAGGACCACACCUUCCCGGGGUCCAUCUCUUUGGCGCUUCCCAAAACUACCGCUGAUCACAAACCGAUCCUCUUGGACACAUUCCCCAUCCCUAGAGGUCCCAAACUCUUCUGCUUCGAACUUUGUUGGAUGCAUGAACCCAACUACAAGGCUUGCUUGUCCCAUUGGUGGCUUUCCUUCUCCCUUGUCACCCUUGGCAGGGCGGGUUUCAGAUUACAAAAGAAACUAUCCCUUCUCAAAACCUCCCUCAAAUCUUGGUGCAACAACUUGCCAAGGAACUUUCUAGAUCUCAAAUCUUCCAUCCAUGCUUCCAUCCUUGCCCUAGAUCUCCUUGAGGAUUCUCGACCUUUGACCCUCGCGGAGUCUACCUCCCGCCUUCAACUUAAGUCAGACCUUCAAUCCAUCCUCAGGGGGCAACGAAUCACGGGUCAAAUGGCUAAACUAUGGGGAUCAGAACACAACUUACUUUCACAAAAUAGCGAAUUGCAGAAGGAGGGAUAACUCCAUCUCCCUAAUUUCACAUUAGGGAACUCUCCUUAAUGACCCCCCUACCAUCGCCAGAACUGUCAUCGACUACUUCCAAAACCUUUUCAGAGCCCCUCACACCCCCUCACCUCUGUUGGAUGAUCUCUUUUUCUUGAUCAUCAUCUCAUUCCAGGCUUCUUGGCUUGAAGGACCCUUUGACGAAACCCGAGAUCCUUCGAGCAAUAAAAGACUUAGGCCAAGAUAGGGCCCCUAGCUCAGAUGGAUUCCCAGUGGCCAUCUUCAAUUGCUACUGGGACAUCUUCCGCUCUGACUUCCUUGCCUUCUUCUCAGAAUUCUUCUAUAGGGGGAUCAUCCAUCGGGGCAUGAACGCCACCUUUAUUGCCCUCAUCCCCAAGAUAGGGGCAAUGGAACUUAAGGACUUUAGACCCAUUGGUCUCAUAAAUAGCUCCUACAAGGUCUUGGCUAGGGUGCUAGCAACCAGGCUCAAGCAAGUCUUAAGCUUUAUUAUUUCCCCCAACCAAAGUGCGUUUGUAAAAGGUAGACAAAUCUUGGAUGGCACUUUGGUCGCUGACGAGUGCAUUAACUCGAGGAUGGCCUCCAAAACUGCAUGUCUUAUUAUCAAAUUGGACUGAAAAAAGGCAUACAACCAUGUCGAUUGGGAGUUACUCGAAGAAACUAAGAGAAGGAUGGGAUUCGAGGCCUGGUGGAGAAAAUGGAUUAGGGGAUGCAUUCAGGCACCCUUUUUCUCCAUUCUCAAUAAUGGCUCCCUCCAAGGCUUCUUCAAGUCCAACAGGGCCCCAGAUAGGGCGGCCCUCUCUCCCCCUUCCUUUUUGCAUUAGUAGUGAAGGUGUUUAGCAGGUCGUUGGAUAGACUCUAUCGCACCUGCAGUAUGCCGACGACACCAUUCUCUUCUACAAGACCUCCUCUAUCCAAGUGAAUAACCUCCUCCUUUUCCUCCAUUGCUUCCACUUUGCCACAGGGUUCAAAGUCAAUCUCCACAAAUCCAAGAUGUUGGGUUUGUCACUGAACCUUUGCGGAUUUCUGGGGUUGCGACAUGGAGUCUCUUCCCUCCAGUUACCUCGGGUUGCCGCUUUGCUACGGCCAACAUAGGAAGGCUUAGUGGAGCCACGUUAUCGAUAAAGCAGAAAGAAAACUGGCCUCUUGGAAAGGGAGAUUCCUUUCCCCUUGCAGGUCCAUAGUGUUAGCAAAUCGCUGUAUAAUCGGCGAAUUUUUCAAAAAUUCGGCGUUUUUAUGGAAACAGUUUUAAAUGGAGACUUUUUGAAAAGGUCAGCAAAAUAUCGCGUCAUAAAAUUGUUUAAAACACAUUUUUGUCAUAAUACAAUUUAAAUCAGGCAAAAAAUUCGUAUCAUUUUUUACCUAUAUUUUUUUUUGAAAGAUUUUUUUUUCCCCUGUUUUGUGAAUUGCAGCCAUUGCUACUUUUAUGCUUUUGAAAAAAAUAUUAUUUCAAAAAAGAAAAAACCUAAAAUAGAAACUUUUAUCCCCACUGUGUUCUUCAAAGCCACAGUUGCCGAUUGAUGGUAUGAUUUUUUUUUUAAAACGUAAACAAAUAGAUGCAGAUUUCAGUUGUUAUUCUGGAAAAUCAUUGCGUAAAUGAAAUACUGUAUAUAGCAAAUCAUUUUGUAAAGUAAAUCAUUGUGUAAGGAAAUCAUAUACAUGCAGAUUUUAUGUGAUUAUUUGUGAUAAUUGUUUUUAUGAAAAUACUGUUUUUGGCACAAAUUAGAGCUCAAAACAUAGUCUUUUACGGAUGAAUGAGAAGCUGUUGCUUUUGAUUAUGUGAUAACAAAGAUAAACAAUAUUGUGUAAACUGUAAACUUACAGGAGCGAGCAAUUGUACAUAUAGGAUUAGUUCCCCGAACUUAAUCCUUCAGCUCUGCUUGCUUUUUCCCUAAGAAAAUGAAAAACCUUCUUCAAACUACCCUGGUUCCCCAAAAAAAUAAAAAAUCCUCUUCAAACUAUCCCGAAUCAGAGAGAAAACCUCUUCAAACUAUCCCAAAUCAUCAUCCCAUCUUCCUUUUCUCUCUCUAAAAAUCAAUUAGGGCCUCCUCCAUUAGAGUUUUUCUUUUUCUCUCUAAAAAUCAGUUAGGGCCUCUUCCAUUAGGGUUCUUCCUUUUCUCUCUCUAAAAAUCAAGGCCUCUUUCAUUAGGGUUUGUGGGUUUGUGAAGCCCAUGACAUCUUUCUUCUUCUUCUUCUCUCUAUAAACCCUGAUGGCUAUGAGCUCAGCCCUAUUUUCUUCCCUUCCUUCUUCUCUCUUCUCUUCCCUUCCUUCUUCCUUCUUCUUCUUCCUUCUUCCUUCUCUCUCUAAACCGUAAAUGCAGAUGUGAAACCCA